CUUACAAAACGAUAUCCUGAGCAAGAUAUGACACUGGUAUGUAAACACCCAGUUUCUGUUAAUGGUAACAUGAGUUGGACAGUGAAUGAACAAGUUAUACAACAGAACGGAAAAUACUCCAUUUCACAAGAUCGUAGCAGUCUCACUGUGAAAAAAGUUGAUGAGAAAGACAAAGGUAGAUACGCAUGUAUCAUUAAAAGGGAAAUAAAUUACAUUCUGUGGGAAGAUAUAGUUAUUGAACCACUUCCCAAUAUCCAAGUGGGUCAAAACAAAAGACAGUUUCAGUGUAAGGAUCAGACUGUGGAACUGACAUGCUGCGAUGCAAAAUAUGCUGUGGAGUGGGAUACUCGUGAAGAUCAAGAGACAUCUCCAGACGAGAGAUGCGCCACACUAAAACAUCGAAUCAAUUGCACAGAU